rnacentral:rRNA from 1 species
GGCAAACGGCUGAGUAACGCGUAAGGGACCUGACCCCGGGAGGGGGAUAACCCAUCGAAAGGUGGGCUAAUACCCCGUACGCUCUCCUGCCGCAUGGCAGGUGAGGAUAGCCUUCGGACGCCCGGGGAGGGUCUUGCGUCCUAUCAGGUUGUUGGCGGGGUAACGGCCCACCAAGCCUAAGACGGGUAACCGGUGUGAGAGCAUGAACGGUCAGAGGGGGACUGAGACACGGCCCCCACUCCUACGGGAGGCAGCAGCAGGGAAUUUUGCGCAAUGGGCUAACGCCUGACGCAGCGACGCCGCGUGGGGGAAGAAGGCCUUCGGGUUGUAAAUCCCUUUUCUGGGGGAAGAGUAAGGACGGUACCCCAGGAAUAAGCCCCGGCUAACUACGUGCCAGCAGCCGCGGUAAUACGUAGGGGGCGAGCGUUGUCCGGAGUUACUGGGCGUAAAGGGCGCGUAGGCGGCCCAGGAAGUCCUCGGUGAAAUCUCCCGGCUCAACCGGGAGCCGCCCGGGGAUACUCCUGGACUUGAGGACAGCAGAGGAGGGUGGAAUUCCCGGUGUAGUGGUGAAAUGCGUAGAUAUCGGGAGGAACACCAGUGGCGAGGGCGGCCCUCUGGGCUGUACCUGACGCUGAGGCGCGAAAGCGUGGGGAGCGAACCGGAUUAGAUACCCGGGUAGUCCACGCCCUAAACUAUGGAUGCUGGGUAUGAGGGGUAUCGAACCCCCUCGUGCCGAAGCUAACGCGUUAAGCAUCCCGCCUGGGGAAUACGGCCGCAAGGCUAAAACUCAAAGGAAUUGACGGGGGCCCGCACAAGCAGCGGAGCGUGUGGUU